GCUUACGGCCAUACCACCUUAGGCACGCCCGAUCUCGUCUGAUCUCGGAAGCUAAGCAGGUUCGGGCCUGGUUAGUACUUGGAUGGGUGACCGCCUGGGAAUACCAGGUGCUGUAAGCA
rnacentral:rRNA from 1 species